rnacentral:rRNA from 1 species
CUCAGUUCGGAUUGGAGGCUGAAACCCGCCUCCAUGAAGUUGGAUUCGCUAGUAAUCGCGCAUCAGCCAUGGCGCGGUGAAUACGUUCCCGGGCCUUGUACACACCGCCCGUCAAGCCAUGGGAGCCGGGGGUGCCUGAAGUUCGUGACCGCAAGGAGCGACCUAGGGCAAAACUGGUGACUGGGGCUAAGUCGUAACAAGGUAGC